rnacentral:tRNA from 1 species
CGCAAAGUAGUAAAGCAGUAGGUAGCUCAUGAGGCUCAUAUCCUCAAGGUCGCAGGUUCGAGUCCUGUCUUUGCUC